UUAAGCAUAUCAAUAAGCGGAGGAAAAGAAACCAACAGGGAUUGCCUCAGUAACGGCGAGUGAAGCGGCAACAGCUCAAAUUUGAAAUCUGGCUCCAUCGGGGUCCGAGUUGUAAUUUGUAGAGAGUGUUUCGGGUGAGACCACGGUCUAAGUCCAUUGGAACAUGGCGUCACAGAGGGUGAGAAUCCCGUAUGUGACUGUGGCUCGAGCCCAUGUGAAGCCUCUUCGACGAGUCGAGUUGUUUGGGAAUGCAGCUCAAAAUGGGUGGUAAAUUUCAUCUAAAGCUAAAUACUGGCUGGAGACCGAUAGCGCACAAGUAGAGUGAUCGAAAGAUGAAAAGCACUUUGGAAAGAGAGUCAAAAAGUACGUGAAAUUGUUGAAAGGGAAGCGCUUGCAACCAGACCUAUCCGUAGGUGAUCAGCCGCUGUUCUCAGUGGUGCACUCGCUCUGCGAUCAGGCCAGCAUCGGUUCCGGCGGUCGGAUAAAGGCCUUGGGAAUGUAGCUCCCUUCGGGGAGUCUUAUAGCCCUCGGUGCAAUGCGGCCAGCCGGGACCGAGGACCGCGCUUCGGCUAGGAUGCUGGCGUAAUGGUUGUAAGCGACCCGUCUUGAAACACGGACCAAGGAGUCUAACAUCUAUGCGAGUGUUUGGGUGUUAAACCCAUGCGCGGAAUGAAAGUGAACGGAGGUGAGAACCCUUUAGGGCGCAUCAUCGACCGAUCCAGAUGUCUUCGGAUGGAUUUGAGUAUGAGCAUAAAUGUUGGGACCCGAAAGAUGGUGAACUAUGCCUGAAUAGGGUGAAGCCAGAGGAAACUCUGGUGGAGGCUCGCAGCGGUUCUGACGUGCAAAUCGAUCGUCAAAUUUGGGUAUAGGGGCG
rnacentral:rRNA from 1 species